AGGAGAGUUUGAUCCUGGCUCAGGAUGAACGCUGGCGGCAGGCCUAAUACAUGCAAGUCGGACGGUAACAUGUGGCAGCAAUGCGACGAUGACGAGUGGCGUACGGGUGCGUAACACGUGUGCAACCUGCCCCGCACAGGGACAAAACGCCGGGAAACUGGCGCUAAUAUCCCAUGACACCGCUGUGCGGCAUCGCGCGGCGGUCAAAGAGGCGACUCGGUGCGGGAUGGGCACGCGUCCCAUUAGGCAGUUGGCGGGGUGACGGCCCACCAAACCGACGAUGGGUAGGGGUUCUGAGAGGACGGGUCCCCCACACUGGAACUGAGACACGGUCCAGACUCCUACGGGAGGCAGCAGUAGGGAAUAUUGGUCAAUGGAAGGAAUUCUGAACCAGCCAUGCCGCGUGCAGGAAGACGGCCCUACGGGUUGUAAACUGCUUUUGCCGGGGGAUAGGGCGCCCCACGCGUGGGGCGGGGAAGGUACCCGGCGAAUAAGCAUCGGCUAACUCCGUGCCAGCAGCCGCGGUAAUACGGAGGAUGCGAGCGUUAUCCGGAUUCAUUGGGUUUAAAGGGUGCGCAGGCUGACCGGUGAGUCGGCGGUGAAAUGCACACGCCCAACGUGUGAAGUGCCGCCGAAACUGCCGGACUGGUAUGCUGGGGGCGCGGCCGGAAUGUGUCGUGUAGCGGUGAAAUGCAUAGAUAUGACACAGAACGCCGAUCGUGAAGACAGGUCGCGAACCAGAGAUAGACGCUCAAGCACGAAAGCGUGGGGAUCGAACAGGAUUAGAUACCCUGGUAGUCCCCU
rnacentral:rRNA from 1 species